UUCCAUCUGUGUUCCCAUUACCGCCCAUAGUUUCUUUCAGUGAAACAAAGAUUCAGCUUUGGAUUUUAUUGUGAGAUUUGAGAGAAUGGGUCUUGCUGUGGAGAGAAACAGAAGCCAAGGAGAUAGAAGUAGGUUUUGCUUCGCUAUAAGCUAAUGGCUUUUUGUUUCUUUUGCUUUUUUUAAGGAUUUUUAUUGCAUAACUGACCUUGGCUUUGGUCUCUCUUUCCUUUUCUUUUCGUUUUUUUUUUUAGUAGAAC
rnacentral:lncRNA from 1 species